GAGAGAGGCUUGCAACAACGAAAACUGCUAAUUUUCACCACCCAGGUUGAAUUCCCGGGCUCACUCG
rnacentral:tRNA from 1 species